CUGCAACCCGCCCUGCAUGAAGUCGGAAUUGCUAGUAAUCGCGGAUCAGCAUGCCGCGGUGAAUACGUUCCCGGGCCUUGUACACACCGCCCGUCACACCAUGGGAGCCGGUAAUACCCGAAGUCAGUAGUCCAACCACGUGAGGACGCUGCCGAAGGUAGGAUUGGCGACUGGGGUGAAGUCGUAACAAGGUACC
rnacentral:rRNA from 1 species